CUUUCUAGAUGGUUUUCUGUGAAUAAUGCAGGUAUAAUCCUUAAUUAAAAUGUUAAUUACACAUUCAGUUAUGAUAAUCAGGAAAUCAGGACAAGUUAGUUACCCAGGGAGGGAAUUCAUGGGCAGGAUAACAAUCGGGAUAGUUAUGUUAAGGAAGUCAGUCAAUCAUGGUGGUUACUUAUGUACCACGUUAUGGGAUUCGAGGAAUCCAAUCAUGUUACGAUUGUGAGCUUCAUGCCGUGUCGAUGCGUAUAAUNNNNNNNNNNNNNNNNNNNNNNNNNNNNNNNNNUGAGAUCGGCUCACCUCAGAGUGUCUUAGUUAUGUUAAAAUGAACAAGAUAAUUAAUCUGUGUUACACCUUUAUAUUAUUAUGUUUAUGAAAUCAUGUUAUGAAAUUAUGUUAGACUGACAAUCAGGAUCAAGGAACUUUUAGUUCAUCAGUUGCCCCCGGUGUAAACACCAAUAGUAACUGGGUAGUAGGAAUCCACUGAGACGAAGUGACUGUUCUCAUCCCCCACUUAUUUGAUUUCAGAUAAGCAGAUUGUUCGAGGAUCGUGGCCUCGAAGCAUGAAGAUUCGGAUACGUGGUUUAUAUUAUGAAGCUGACAUUAUGUUAAUAUUAUGUUUGUAUAAGAUUUAGUUUAUUUAUGUUCAAAUGUUAGCUCAAUCAUGUAUUCAUUCACUGGAUUUUUGUAAUCCUAUUCAUGUAUUUGGUCUUUAUGUAAUGAAAAUUAAUGUUUCCCGAUUCAAUUAUGUUCACUCUUGUCGGUAUUCUAGAUAAAUCGAUAUAGGGUGUUAUAAU
rnacentral:lncRNA from 1 species